AACGAACGCUGGCGGCGCGCCUAACACAUGCAAGUCGAACGAGAAGGCGUAGCAAUACGCUUGUAGAGUGGCGAACGGGUGAGUAAUACGUGGGUGACCUACCCUCGAGUGGGAAGUAACCCNCCGAAGGCGGGCUAAUGCCGCGUACGCUUCCGUCCUCACGGGGACGGAAGGAAAGCUGUACCGUGGGUACGGCGCUCAAGGAUGGGCUCACGUCCUAUCAGCUUGUUGGUAGGGGUAACGGCCACCAAGGCUACGACGGGUAGCUGGUCUGAGAGGACGAUCAGCCACACUGGCACUGCGACACGGGCCAGACUCCUACGGGAGGCAGCAGUGAGGAAUAUUGCGCAAUGGGCGAAAGCCUGACGCAGCGACGCCGC
rnacentral:rRNA from 1 species